ensembl:lncRNA
GAGACAGUAAACAGAUCACAUGCAGUGUUUCCUGGAUUUACAUGUGACACAUGAAACAUUGGUGAAGAACUAGUUAGGUAUUUGAGCGUGUUUUGAAUGUAUGGCAAAUAAAUGCAAAAUCCUUUACCAUGUCCAUGUUGCUUCUGUGCAGAGAAAUGGAGUUGGCCCUUCGGUUAUUAAAGACUUUAAUACCCACCAACAGUGUUUAUUCCCUUUAGCCAUGUGCUGGGAGUAUUUAUAAGGAUGCUCCCCCUUUCCAUGCAAGCUUUUACCUCAUCUCUUUUAUAAAGACCAAGCAAUUACUCUGGUUUGCUGACACCCUGAAUACCAAUACAACAAUGCCUCUUCUUUCUCCACGGGAACCCCCCCACACCAUUGCACACACUCACACACACACACCCAAAAUCCCUUCAUGCCACCCCGCUUCGCCUCCCAAAAUACAAGUUGCUGCUGGUUGCUAUGGCUACAGGAGUUCAUAAAUACAGCUGCAGAGGGACUCUUCAUUCCUUUAAAAUUAUCAGAAGGAUUUGUAUUUUUUUUUUUUUGGCAAGCAGGAAGUGGAGGGGGGUGGUGGUGGGAGCCAUAGCACACAGGGUGAAGGAUUUGGAUAAAGAAGGUUGAUGGGAUGGAGGAAGCCCAUCCUUUCCCUCCACCAUGUGUCCCGCUGAAGCAGAUGGUGUCGUGCGCCUCCGCCAUGCCGCCACGGUCGCCCUGUGAGCGCCGCUGCCAUAAGGAGGCAGGCUUUGGGAGGCGACUCCCCGCUGUUAAUGCAGUGCGGGAGGAGCAGAGAAGCAUCCAGACGAGCGAAGACAGCCGCCACCUCACUCCGGGUGAUGACUGAACUAACUCCAUCAUGCACACUAAUAAUACAACAUCGGGGGCUCUUGGGUGCAGAGCUUGCAGACCAGUGGAAUCGCAAAUGCUAUUUUGUGUCUAGAAUUGUUACUUUCUUAUCUAAAGUAAUGGGGCGUCAUAUUUCCUGACCCUUUGCUGAGCUCUGUUUAGUGUCAACUUCACUUCCUGUUUUAGUCUGCAUUGGGAUUUGCAGAUAUCUGGCUAAGACAACUGAGGAUGCAUUCAGUUAAGAUGUACAUUAAUUCAUCUGUGUAACCUUUAUCUGCGUGCUUUGCAAAUAAAAUACAUGUUUGAUGUUUAGAAAGUGCAUUUCAUGAGACACUUGCACAGGACAAUGUAACCACUGGGAUUGCACAUUAGAUCAAUGUAUGUUGAUCUAAUAAAUAAAAACAUAUAACAGUUUUGACAUUCAAAGAGACAGUGUUUUCUGCUGCAGAUUAAACACAGAAUACUCAAAAGAACAUGUUCCAAGAAUGCUUGCAUAGUAAUACAAUUCUUGAUGGAGACUUACAAAAAACCCACCACCUUUUACUAUCAGAAAGUUAAGCUAAGAUUGCAUAAUGUUGAGAAAUGAUGGAAUUAUAGCCAUUUUAGUGAAGUCUUGAAAAAAUAAUGUUCUUCACAACUUUACAUUAAAAGAGAAGGAAAUUUUGCAGCAGGAAAUUCAAAUGAGCCACAGAGUGUGUUAACGGGACGGUAGCUCAAACUCCAGCUGAUUUUACUUGCAGGAAGGGUCAAAGUGCCUGACGGCUGCAGAGCCAGAGACCACAGGUUGAUGCCUGCGCCGUCUCUAGAGGCGUGAAUCUGCAGCAGCAGGCGUAAAUUGGUGGUCUCCAGCUCUGCAGCUUUGGCUUUCUUGUCGGCCUGGCCGAAAAACAUUUGUGUCCUCGUGCACAUACGCAGAUUAUCAUUCUCUUUCCUUGCUCCCGGAAGAAGGUUUGGAGUGCAAAUGGUUUCUUUGUUGCUAAUCUGCAGAAAAUUUAUACAGCAAAGUUAUACAGAAAGUAGCAAAGGGUACCCAGGAGGUUUGUCACUAGGCACUAGGAACAGCAACAAAGUCGCUGAGCUGGCAACGCUGCCUCUCGCUCUGCUGACAAGCUGCAGAUAGCAAAUGCUACGACCUAUGCGUGUAGUGUAUAGGGGUUGUAUCAACUAGUCAACUAGUCGACUAGUCGACUUCACGGCUCUGUAGUGACUUUUUGUGCCUGUCAUUGACUAGUUGCUGUCAUGUGAUAAUGACCGACAAGAUGCAGUCCUCGGAAAAGACAGCAGGUGACGAGCCCCUGCUGAUGCGCUGUGCCAGAGUGUCGGUAUCUGACGUCCGCGGUAAAACGGGCAUUUGACCGAAUUGUAACCUUUACCCUCUUGCAAUUUAACCUUCCCCUCACCCCCAUCCUAACCUUAACCAGCUUGUGUAUGCAAAGCUCUGAUCGUUGACGCGCUCCAGACAUCUGCGUCCUGAGCACGGCCACAGUAACAUUAUCAAAUUAGGUGUCACCACCUCAAAAACAAAUUUAACACGCGGUCGUUCAUGUCAGCUCAUUUCCUUUUAUGUUUUCUGUCUUUUAUUUGUGCCUGAUGCGUUUCGCUGCUGCUGUGCGCAUCACCUGUUUUGUCCUCUGGUGACGCACCCCUCACCGGUGCGACUGGCGCGCAUUGCGCAAUCCGCUGUUUUUGUGGUCGGUAGAUCUUUUAGAACUGCAGUUCAAAGGUAACUCAUAAGGUGAAUAUAUACGAAGCCAGGUAGCAGUUUUUUUAAGGAUUGAGAGAAGAUACAGGAAGAUAAUAAACAGAGACAGGACAGAAAAAUAGUCAAAUAAAAACAAGUUAGUUUUUGUACCUGGUGGUUGCAACAAACAGACACCAUUGAAGGUAAUCAGAAGUGAGGAAGAGAAAAUAAAGUACAUAUUUUAAUGUUUAGAGCAACAGGAACUCUGAGAGGCUGCAGGCGCAUCAGUGAGUUUGAGGCCGCUGCGCAGGGGGAGGGGGGAGAGGGCUGAAGCAGGGGAACAGUAAAGAUGCAGAAACUACCGUUGCAAUUUUAGUUGUCAAAAACUCCAGCUAACCAACCCCAGCAGCGGCCCAAAACAAUUUCCCAACACAUGGAUUUUCUGCUUCCUGAUCACGUGACGUGUGACAUAUGCGGAUGAACAUCGGCUUUAGAGCUGGGAUGUAUGUUCACACGGUGCGGGGGCUCGUUUCGAUGCCCACGCAGUAAAAACAUGCAAAUGACGACUUUAGUCGCCAAGGGCAGUGAAUUAGUUAAGCGUGGCCAGUGCAGUUCUAGGAAUGGCUGAGAUACUGCACAGAAUCCUCAAGCCCCCAGGCCUCUGGUAGAGGACCCGAGCUUGGAAGGAUAAGACCUUCCAAGGGUGAGAUGGGAAUUUCUUUUUUUAUUUUGAAAUCUUUUAUGUUGUCCCAACACACUUCCUUUUUUUGUUUUCUUGUUGGAUGUAAUUGGGCUGUAGUCCAACAGGAUGGUCAGCAGUGUGAAACUAGGUAGACGAGUAGGCAACGGCCUUCUAUAGCUCUACAGAAACAUGAAAUUCCUUCCAUACUGAGGUUGGCCUUAGCCACAAAAAUAUAUGGAAUAAAUUUUUAGUCUGAGCUUGCCUUACACCCAUAUAACGUUUCCUCAUCUUUCCAGAUGUUUAAUUAAAAUCUCAACAGAGGGUGAAUAGAGGGAAGAUAAAGGUAACUAAACAUGAAUACUUCAGCAAAACAGCCAAAUGAGAUGCAGUGUGAUGCCAAAGGGUGAUCACUGUUGGAAUUAUACUGAAGAAUGGGAUGUGGAAAACUCUCGGCCGUAAUUCUUAUCAAGGCCACUCAACAUCUCAAAUGAAACGUUGAUAUGACACAUCUUCUUUUGAAAAAAGGAUAACAAAAUGAGCAUAAAGAGAGUAACAAUGGCUGCCCCUCAUGUGCGGCUGUAGGGAGUCCACAAGACCCAGAGGAUGGCAGUCAAGGAAUCCAUCUGGAUCUGGGCCCAUACUGGAUCUUGUCGGUACAGAAGAAGAUGACAUUCAGCUAUUUUUUUUCUUUCCUUGGAGAUGCUUCCUGUUGUUUGCAGUUAAGGUAGAGAGGCAGUGACUCACACAGACAGUAGUAAUUAAGGCCAGCUUCUCAAACUGGGGGAGCAGAACGAUUUAAUACGUAUGUGCACGCCCCCCGCACCCAUGCAAUCACAUAAAGAGCGGAUAACUUCUGUGACACGCACAGUUUGUAGCCUGAUGCAUGUGCAAGAGAUGAAAGCGUCAAAAUAAACAAAAAAAUCUCCAUAAUGAAUUGAACAACUAGGACACUUCUCAUUAGAGAUGCGUUUGUGUACACGAGGAAUAUUAUUAUUUUCGGCCUCACAAAUUCUGGUGCGCGAUAUUUUAAUACGUCUUCAGCCCAGAAAAUCUGUUUAGCAGUUAGUCUGGGUGGGAGCACGCUCAAAUGAAUUGCAUUUGCUUUAAAUGGCUCCGGCUGUCUCUGUGUUGUAUUUUUUUAUUUAUUUUGUUUUUGUUUUUUUGUGGUGUGCAAGAAUAAAGCACAUUUAAAAGAUGAGAGGAUGAAUCAGAUUAAUGUAUGUUCUUCAGGUUUGUUUGCCUAAUUAAUGUCAGGCAUUGUGUCAGCUGUGAGAAACAACAACAAUUUAGAAGAAGAAGCCAACGGGGGAGUCUACACAAAUAUUCAAGCCGACCAAAUAAUUUAGCCACGCUCCACGAAUCUCUUAUAACUCAAUUUGUCAACUGCCUCCAACUUCCAGCUGCUCAACUCUGACCCACCUCAGCUCCAAAAUUGCACUGUAGCUCGACUGCCGGAGGAUUCAAUUAAUCAACACUUCCUGGAGUUUAGGGCAUGGUUAACCAGCUCCUUUGUGCUCCCAAGCACUCGUUGCUUUUGUCAUCAGUACGCCUCACUUCCCCCUCACAGGGAGACGAGCAGCCAAGACAGCAGAGAGCUCCCAGGCCUAGUCAAACACACAAUUAGAGUCAUGUACUGUAAACCCGGCAUUGUUUUCCACUCUUCUCUGCUGGGGUUCUUCCAAGACGAGUGGUGAACUGAGGACUUCUUUGUAAGAAACCUCAGUUUAAAGUCUUUUUUUGUGUCUUUAUGAGUUUGGGCGUAGCCUCCAACGACAAUCCUGUUGCAAUCCUUGUUCUGUAAUCAUGAACAAGCCUUUUUCCAUAUGGAUUUUAAAUGUGACCCUCAGUUUUACAUGUCAAGCUCUCUUUUAUCUGCAUGAGCCAAAUUAACCAAAGUACUGCUCAGUACUCUGCUUAGAACAUGUUGCCUUUACCCCUGAUGAAAGAAUAUUUUCUGGAAGACGUGAUGGGAUAUUCAAAGAGACACGGUUGGAGAAACGUAGGUAACAUUUUAGUUAAAAUCUGUUCCCUUUUUUUCAUGGAAAUGUCCGAUAGACCGAUGUUAUAAUGUAAUAUCUUUUACUUUUUCAGUGACUUUUGCAUACCAUGCAUAUGUUAUACCCACAUAUUAUACAGCUACUUCUCCUCUCACUCAAAAUGCUAAAAUAUUACAGAUCUGAGGUAUCGUUUUUGAGACACGUUUGUUUGUUUGGUACAACUUGUGAUGAAGUAAAUAACUUGCCAAUGUAGUGGACGUUGUUCAGGGUUAUCUCUGGGAGAAUGUGAUUCAGCUGCUGUUGAAACAAACUGAUUAUUGAUUUUGUCAUAUUUUGCUGGAAAGGUGGGGAUCACUGGAUUAACUGGUGUUCAAGACAUGUGGCUGCAGAUCAGAUGAAACGACAACGAGCUGCGUUCUAAGGUACCCUGUUGCCAAAAGCACAUAUGGACACCUUUAUGCCUGAACAUGGUGGUGUUCAUUAUGGACAAUCCAUGACUGGCGCAGAAGUCCAAUAACAAAACACCACUCGAAUUCAGGGGGGGG